rnacentral:rRNA from 1 species
CCCCCUCAAGAUGAGAUUUCCCAACUUCGGUUAUAAGAUCCCUCAAAGAUGAUGAGGUUAAUAGGUUCGAGGUGGAAGCAUGGUGACAUGUGGAGCUGACGAAUACUAAUCGAUCGAAGACUUAAUCAA